AGAGUUUGAUCCUGGCUACAGGACGAACGCUGGCGGCGUGCUUAACACAUGCAAGUCGAACGGGAAACUUUAUUCGGUAAAGGAUCUAGUGGCAAACGGGUGAGUAACGCGUAGGCAACCUGCCCUUAGGAUGGGGACAACGGCCCGAAAGGACCGCUAAUACCGAAUGUACUCUAACUUCCGCAUGGAAGAAAGAGGAAAGAUGGUGCAAGCCAUCGCCGAAGGAAGGGCCUGCGUCUGAUUAGCCAGUUGGUGAGGUAACGGCUCACCAAAGCAACGAUCAGUAGCCGGUCUGAGAGGAUGAACGGCCACAAUGGGACUGAGACACGGCCCAUACUCCUACGGGAGGCAGCAGUGGGGAAUCUUCCGCAAUGGGCGAAAGCCUGACGGAGCAACGCCGCGUGAGUGAAGAAGGUCUUCGGAUCGUAAAGCUCUGUUGUUGGGGACGAAAGGGAAAGGGAGGAAAUGCCCUUUUUAAGACGGUACCCGACGAGCAAGCCACGGCUAACUACGUG
rnacentral:rRNA from 1 species